UUGACCUCAAAUCAGGUAGGACUACCCGCUGAACUUAAGCAUAUCAAUAAGCGGAGGAAAAGAAACUAACAAGGAUUCCCCUAGUAACUGCGAGUGAAGCGGGAAAAGCUCAAAUUUGAAAUCUGGCAGCCUUUUUUUUCUUCUUUGGCUGUCCGAGUUGUAAUCUAGAGAAGUGCUUACCUGUGCUGGACCG
rnacentral:rRNA from 1 species